UUUUUUUUUUUUUUUUUUUUUUUUUUUUUUUUUUUUUUUUUUUUUUGCAAUUUGCAUCAUGA
rnacentral:ribozyme from 1 species